ensembl:lncRNA
GCGUGUAGCAGCUCUCCUGCGCGCUAUUGAAAAGCGCAAAUAACGAAAGUACCAGAGAGAUGCUUGCCCCGGACAAAAAAAAGAGAUAGCUGCACAUUCCCUGUCAGCAGGCCCUCGUAUGAGAGUGCGAGGCAAGGUGAUCCAGAUGAUUGAUAUACGUCAAGUCUGUCCCUAGCAAACGAAAAUAAAAUAAAAUAAAAUAAAGAACAAAAGGUGAAUCAAAUAGACCAUUACAGCAAGGCUGGGAUUGUCCAUUUGGUAAAGUAAAUCCGUUGGGCAUCUUUCUUCGCCUUUAGACAAUAAUUCUGAUGGCAAAAGAGCCAAACGGGACAGGCAAAAAAAAAAAAAAAAAAAGGAAAAGAAAAAAAGGUUAAACUGGUUUUAGUUUCUAGCAAAGGCAACCCAUAGCUAUUUUUUGCAGGCUAGCUGUCACUCGAUAUCCUCC